GGCCGGUUAGCUCAGUGGUUUGAGCGCGGUGCUGACAACAAUGACAACACCGAUAUCACGGGUUCAAUUCCCGCUCGGUCC
rnacentral:tRNA from 1 species